AUUUUUAGCAUUAUAGUUUCUCUAGGUAUCCCAGUUUUCCCUUCCUCCUUGAUGUAUAAGGUGAGUAGCAAUGCUUUUUUUUUUACACGUCUUGCAAUCUCUGCAAUCACUAACUAAUCUAUCUCUAUAAAAUAAUCUGCAUGCUUUUCAUUUCCCUAACAAGCUGUACCAGAGCAUUCAGAGCUGAGCUGGAUCCACAUCUAGCAGUUCGCUUCAAAAGGAAGUCAGUAGAGGGUCUUUCCUACUCAUUCUAUUGAGCACCGAGGAUUUUAGGAUUUUCUGGGGAAAAAAACAAAAACACAUUUUUUAGGAAAUAAUCUUCAUUCAAAGGCUUCUUGCCUGCUGUAGCAGUAAGAGAUUAAUAAACUGCAGUGGGUACAGCUCUGCCCUCCAGUGUUUUCACAGCACAUGAUGCUGUCAUUUGGGGUCUGCAAACUUCCAGUUUAACUGCAGAAACAAAUGGAAACUUUUAAAAACAGAUGAAACGGGCCGCACAGCGAAGACUGACAAAUAAAAGCAGAUGUAUCUUUCAUUAAUAGAUGUUAGAUUUAUAUUAACUGGACAGAGAAAUGAGCUAUUCCACAGACUAAGGCAAUGGAGUGAACAGCUUGCCCUAGUUCUGUUUCUGCCAGCCACCAGGAUGUGUGCUGGCACAGGAGGAUGUUGAACUGCUACUUUGAUCUGGAAUAAAAUGUACUCAUUAAUGCCUUGUUGUGGGUAGAUCGCAGAUCUGAAGAUGUUAUAGAGGGAGGAGCCAAACCUUAAUGCAUCUCCAAACAUAAAAGGAAGAUCUUAGUAAAGACUGCUGAACCUGACCAGCUGCUUUGUAAGAAAUCGUUAGCAGCUGUCAUGUCUCCAGUACUUGGUGUUUCUGCUCACACGUGGGGAAAAGCCUCUGGAUCCCGUUCCUGGAUUUCGGUCAAGACGUCUUGGUGAUUCUGGCACGUUGCUUUGUGCCUGGGAACGUGGUGACUCAACCUGCUCAGCCUCGGGAAAAGCAGCUGUGGUAUCAAAGCAAACUGAAAAUGUCAAGGAAGAGGGUCCAAAACGGCAAAGUGAGGCUGUGUUUGGCCCCAGAGCAGCUUGCCGCCCUGCCAAGUGUUCCCACCCAGGUCCUCUUCUCGUUCCUGAAGCUGGAGCAGCUGCUGCUCAUGUGUUUUGCUUUAUUGAACACGAUGUCACCGGGAAAAGCCACGAUGUGAACAAGUUUCCGGAGAGCAACCCUCAGACCCUGCAUGUGGGUGCUCCAGGCUGGGAAAGCUAUUUCCUCCGGACCUGCAGCUGUUUGACACGUAGCUGCUCCUUGCUGAGUAGCGUGGCUGAUGAGAAACCUCGGCCAUAAACGUUACACACGUUUGCACUUUCCCUGCGCCAGCUCAAGGGCUGAAACUGAAAACAGAAACCUGGAAGGCAUUGCUGCAAGCUGUCACUUGACAUUCGUUCUUAAUUUGACUUGCUGUGAAAAUCUGGAAGUAAAUUUUAUGAUUUCUUUAAGUUCUGGCUCA